AGGAAUCUACCNAGNAGAAGGGGAUACCCCUUUAGAAACUCGGAUUAAUACCGUAUACCUCCUUUGGGAGAAAGAAGGCCUCUCUUUGAAGCUUUCGCUACUAGNUGAGCCUGCGUAAGAUUAGCUUGUUGGUGAGGUAAAGGCUCACCAAGGCGACGAUCUUUAGCGGGCCUGAGAGGACGAUCCGCCACAUUGGGACUGAGACACGGCCCAGACUCCUACGGGAGGCAGCAGUGGGGAAUAUUGGACAAUGGGCGCAAGCCUGAUCCAGCCAUACCGCGUGUGUGAAGAAGGCCCUAGGGUUGUAAAGCACUUUAAGUUGGGAAGAAAAGUUAUUGGUUAAUACCCAAUAGCCGUGACAUUACCAUCAGAAUAAGGACCGGCUAAUUCCGUGCCAGCAGCCGCGGUAAUACGGAAGGUCCAAGCGUUAAUCGGAAUUACUGGGCGUAAAGCGCGCGUAGGUGGUUUAUUAAGUUGGAUGUGAAAUCCCCGGGCUCAACCUGGGAACUGCAUCCAAAACUGAUUCACUAGAGUACGAUAGAGGGAGGUAGAAUUCACAGUGUAGCGGUGGAAUGCGUAGAUAUUGUGAAGAAUACCAAUGGCGAAGGCAGCCUCCUGGAUCUGUACUGACACUGAGGUGCGAAAGCGUGGGUAGCGAACAGGAUUAGAUACCCUGGUAGUCCACGCCGUAAACGAUGUCAACUAGCUGUUGGGGAACUAUGUUCUUCAGUGGCGCAGCUAACGUAGUAAGUUGACCGCCUGGGGAGUACGGCCGCAAGGCUAAAACUCAAAUGAAUUGACGGGGACCCGCACAAG
rnacentral:rRNA from 1 species